rnacentral:rRNA from 1 species
AUUGAACGCUGGCGGCGUGCCUUACACAUGCAGGUCGAACGGUAACGCGGGGCAACCUGGCGACGAGUGGCGAACGGGUGAGUAAUGUAUCGGAACGUGCCCAGUUGUGGGGGAUAACUGCUCGAAAGAGCAGCUAAUACCGCAUACGACCUGAGGGUGAAAGCGGGGGAUCGCAAGACCUCGCGCAAUUGGAGCGGCCGAUAUCAGAUUAGGUAGUUGGUGGGGGAAAGGCUCACCAAGCCGACGAUCUGUAGCUGGUCUGAGAGGACGACCAGCCACACUGGGCCUGGGGCACGGCCCAGACUCCUACGGGAGGCAGCAGUGGGGAAUUUUGGGCAAUGGACGCAAGUCUGACCCCGCCAUGCCGCGUUAGGGAAGAAGGCCUUCGGGUUGUAAACCGCUUUUGUCAGGGAAGAAAAGGCUCCUUCUAAUAUAGGGGGCUCAUGACGGUACCUGAAGAAUAAGCACCGGCUAACUACGUGCAAGCAGCCGCCGUAA